rnacentral:rRNA from 1 species
GACGAAGGAUGCAAGCGUUAUCCGGAUUCAUUGGGUUUAAAGGGUGCGUAGGUGGCCUUAUAAGUCAGUGGUGAAAUCUCUGGGCUUAACCCAGAAAUUGCCAUUGAUACUGUAGGGCUUGAGUAUAGUUGCCGUUGGCGGAAUAUGACAUGUAGUGGUGAAAUACAUAGAUAUCAGGAGGAACACCGGUGGCGAAGGCGGGUCUCUGGGCAACAACUGACGCUGAGGAGCGAAAGCGUGGGGAGCGAACAGG